CCUACGGGUGGCUGCAGUGGGGAAUAUUGGACAAUGGGCGAAAGCCUGAUCCAGCCAUGCCGCGUGUGUGAAGAAGGCCUUCGGGUUGUAAAGCACUUUCAGUGGGGAAGAAAGCCUUGGGGCUAAUACCCUCGAGGAAGGACAUCACCCACAGAAGAAGCACCGACUAACUCCGUGCCAGCAGCCGCGGUAAUACGGAGGGUGCGAGCGUUAAUCGGAAUUACUGGGCGUAAAGCGCGCGUAGGCGGUCUGAUAAGCCGGUUGUGAAAGCCCCGGGCUCAACCUGGGAACGGCAUCCGGAACUGUCAGGCUAGAGUGCAGGAGAGGAAGGUAGAAUUCCCGGUGUAGCGGUGAAAUGCGUAGAGAUCGGGAGGAAUACCAGUGGCGAAGGCGGCCUUCUGGACUGACACUGACGCUGAGGUGCGAAAGCGUGGGUAGCAAACAGGAUUAGAUACCCCUGUAGUC
rnacentral:rRNA from 1 species